rnacentral:rRNA from 1 species
UACAGAGACUGCAAGCGUUAUUCGGAUUUACUGGGCGUAAAGAGCGCGCAGGCGGUCGUUCAAGUCGAGUGUGAAAGCCCCCGGCUCAACUGGGGAGGGUCACUCGAUACUGAUCGACUCGAAGGCAGGAGAGGGAAGCGGAAUUCCCGGUGUAGUGGUGAAAUGCGUAGAUAUCGGGAGGAACACCAGUGGCGAAGGCGGCUUCCUGGCC